rnacentral:rRNA from 1 species
GACGAACGCUGGCGGCGUGCCUAAUACAUGCAAGUCGAGCGAACAGACCAGGAGCUUGCUCCUCGCACGUUAGCGGCACACGUGUGUGUAACACGUGUAUCACCUACCUAUAUGACUGGUAUCAUUUCGAGACUCCGGCGCUAAUACCAUAGAAUCUAUUGCACCGCGUUGGUCAAUGGUAAGAGUCGGCUGUUCGGUCUCUUCUAGAGGGAUCCGCGCCUCAUGAGCUAGUUGGUACGGUAACGGCUUACCAAGGCAACGAUGCGUAGCCGACCUGAGAGGGGGAUCGGCCCCUCAGGAGCUGAGAGACGGUCCAGACUCCUAGGGGAGGCAGAAGUAGGGAAGCUAGCGAAAAGGGCGAAAGCCUGACGGAGGAACGCAGCGUGAGUGAUGAAACGCCUCGGAUCGGAAAACUCUGUUAUGAGGGAAGAACAAAUGUGUAAGUAACGAUGCGCGUCUGGACGGAAUGGGUACAGAAGGCCACGCCUAACUACUG